GCCAUAGCUCAUUAGUAGAGCAUCUGCUUUGCACACAGAAGGUCCUGGGUUCAAUCUCCACCAUCUGCA